GGAUCCGUCUAGGUUUCAACGAAGGUCUAGAAUACAUAUUUGUUUCCCGAAUGUCAAAUUGUAGAAUAAUCAACCACUUUCUUCUUCAGUAAACGUAAAUUUUGUCUUCAGAAAAAAAUCAAUUGGUACAUCUUUUUUACAGGUUGUAUGGUUUUUGAUCAGUGACCCUGUUUGUUUCCCUUUCUUUUCCCAUUAAAAUGAAAAAUAUUACUUUUAUCCAUCAUAUUAAGCCACUAUAUUUAAAUUUCUAUCUUUUGUGUAGGGUAUAUAAUGACUAUAUUUUUCAUUCUCAUUUUUACAUUAAUG
rnacentral:lncRNA from 1 species